AAAGUUUAAAUCUUUAUAAUUGUCAUUAUACUUUCAACCAUAUAAGCAAAAAACGAAAAAAAAAGUCCUUUGAUAAUCCAAGGACACGCAUUUAGAAAUCGACCAAAUCCAAGUCGUCCCUCUAUUUUCGCCUCCCUUUCUCUCUCACAUAUUCAGUUCCGGUAAGCAAAAUUCGUAAAUACCCUGAUAAAAUUUAAGCAUCAAGAAGCUGAUUUUGGAGCUUUUGGAUUAUGGGUUUUCUGUUCAUGUUUUUUUGACAAGUGAGGUACUGAAAAUUUUUAUGCUUUAUUAGAUUCUUUUGUUUUUUUCUCGGCAAGGAGUGCUAAGGGUUUAUAGAGAAAGAUAUUGGGUUUCUUGUUUUGGUAAAAUCGACGGGAAGGAUAUUCGAGGAUACCUUCUGUGCAAUCACCCAAUAAUGGGCAGGCCAGUAUCACCAAAAAAUCGAUCGUGGACCGAACAAAACCGCCGUAGGGACCGCCGCAGUCCCUCCUACCAUAGGUACGAUGAACGUCACCGAGAAAUCGAUCGUGGACGCUAUCGCUCAAGCUCACCUGAUUAUCCAAGCCCUAGAAGAAGAAGCCCAAGCCCUAGGCCUAGAAAAUCCCUAGACUCUCUGCCAAAGAAUUUCGGCAGGGGGCGCGCUUACCUUGACCGUGGCGGUUAUCGCGACGGAAGGAACUCGGAAUCAGAAUCUGACGAGGAAUUGAGGGGAUUGAGCUUUGAAGAGCGGAGGAGACUGAAGAGGCAGAAGAUGAGAAAGAACAUUCUGAAAUAUUGUAUUUGGACUCUUACCCCUAGUCCGCCAAGGGCUGACAACGAAGAAGAUGAUUGGGAAGACAAAGCUGAUGAGAUUUCGGAAAAGUAUGGGGGAGAUGAAGAGAAAAGCAAUUGCAGCGAGAAGGAAGAGAAAGGAAAGUUGGGUGGUGGAAAGGUUAGAUCAGACUCUGAGUCUGGGAGGUCAGGGAGCAGUGAUUCAAAGAGCCAGUCCAAGGCUGAAUCUGACCCGGAGUCAGACGAUUCUUAUUCUCAGUCAAAGAAGAGGAAGAUUUCGUAUUCUAAGCACAGGCAUAGGAAAUCAUCAGUGGACGAGUACAGCGAAUCAGAUGAUGAUAACAGCGAGAGUACUGGAACUGACUCUGAUUCAGAUUCUGAAGGGUAUAGAAAACGCAGAAAGAAUUCACGUAAAAAGAGCAGCAGCAGUAGUCGAAAGAAGAGUAGCAAAAGAAGUAGCAGAAAAGGAAGAAGAAGUAGUAGGAAGAAAAAUAGGUACAGUGAUUCGGAUGAUAGUGAGAGUGAAGCAUCCGAGUCUAAGAAGCGGAGACGCUCUUCAGGUUCAGGGUCUAAACGCAGCAAGAAAAAGAGGAGGUCUGAAACAGAGAUUGACAAGUCAUAUUCUGAUAAGAGUUCAGGUUCUGAAACCGAUGCGAAUGGAAAACUAAUGACAGAUGAGAUCACGAAGGCUGAAAUUAAUGCCGAGGCACUCAAGUUUAAAGAAAUGAUCGAGUCACAAAAGAAACCGGCUUUCGAUAAUGAGCCUGUGGUUGGUCCAAUGCCGAUGCCCAGAGCUGAGGGACAUAUUAGUUAUGGUGGGGCACUAAGGCCUGGUGAAGGUGAUGCCAUAGCACAGUAUGUACAGCAAGGAAAGCGUAUUCCACGUAGAGGUGAAGUGGGUCUUUCUGCUGAAGAGAUUCAAAAGUUUGAAAGUCUUGGGUAUGUGAUGAGUGGCAGUAGACAUCAAAGGAUGAAUGCCAUUCGUAUUAGGAAAGAAAACCAGGUAUACAGUGCUGAGGAUAAGCGUGCGUUGGCCAUGUUUAACUAUGAAGAGAAAGCAAAACGUGAGCACAAGGUUAUGGCUGAUUUGCAGAGGCUGGUGCAGCGUCAUAUUGGGCAGGACGUUGGUCCUAGUCAUGAUCCUUUUGCAGCAAAGGCGUCUGAUGGUGCGGAUGCUUGAUAUUAGCUGUGCCAAUCUAAGAUUAUUUCAAUUAUCAUCAACUUCAAAUAAAGAGGUUCUCUGACUUGAAGCUUGAGAAAGCAAAAUUUGUUAUUUGGUAGGCCAAAACCACAGUAUAGAAGUGUGAGUAUUUUAGGAGUGCUUGAUGAAGUUGAAAUGUGAAUCUUCAAAGUGGUGCAGAUAAGAGUGAUUUGUGCUAAGUACCUUGAUACCUUAUAUGUCAAGGGAGAGCAUUUUUCUAUUGGGUAUCAUGCAGUUAUCUGAAAUUCAUGGUUUCAUGUUUUUCAAGCAAGAACUUGGGGCGAGGUUUCCAUAGUAGGAAUGCAACGUACAAAAUCUGUGAAUCCAAAUGAUCUAGGGAUCAUAGGCAUCCCACAGACAUUUUGAAGACUAGACCAAGGGAAUGCUGGAGACCACUCAUGGGCAGAGACACAGAAACCUGCUGAAAACAUUGAUGUAUAAUUGCUUCAGGCAGAAGUAGGCAUGCGAUGAUGUCCCGAUCUUGCUUAAGCAUGCCAUAACAAGGGAUCUCACAUUUUAUUGGGGAGCAUUUUGAUUUCCCUUUUUUUCCCUUCUAGAUGAUUGCUUUUUAAUAUGGUAUUCAACAUUUUUUACUUUUGUUCUGAUAUUGUUGGAGUACAUGUAUCUUAUGGUGAUUUCUGCUUUCACAAUGAUAUUCACCUCGGACCAUGACAAUUAUUUGAAGGCAAGGUCUCUGUUACUGUUAAACAAAAGGGCAUUGCAGGAUAAAUUGAUUCGCUUUUUGGAUGGACCAUUCAUCCUGUUUCUUGCGUCCGUUAUCUGUACAGACAGUUCUCCUUUGCCGUACCAAAUGCUUUUAUUGCUGCUGCUGCUAAAUGGCUUUUGCUCUCUCUCUCUCUGUUAAUUGAUUAAUUAUUGCUGUUAUUGGAAAUGAUUUCAGUAAAA